AAAUAUUCAUUCCGUCCGGAUUUAACUUCCAAUCCGGCCUCCUAGGCCGGAUUGAAAAAAUUGGUUAUUGGGCAAUUCCCAUUCCACUUGGGAAUCGGAAUCGGAAUGGGACUCCCGCGUACCAAACACCGACAAACGGAUUCGCCCAUUCCAAUUCCGAUUCCAGGGUGAAAAAGAAGCGAACCAAACACGCCCAUAGUGUAGAGCUACUAUGCUAUCGGAAGCAUAGAGGGUUAUAUGCUUCCGACUUUUUGACCCUUGGAUCAAGAAUUGUACAGUUGGGAUGAUUGUGGUUUCCCCCGGGUUGAGUAGUACUCCUAGAAUUGAGUGGUCCCCACAGGGUAAUAGUAUUAAUCCAAAGAUUAGAAAUGAUCAAAGAGGUUGAUCUAAGGGUCAAAAGUCGGAAUCACCAGAUUCUCUAUGCUUCCGAUAGCAUAGUAGCUCUACUAUCUCUCUCUCUCUCUCUCUCUCUCUCUCUCUCUCUCUCUCUCUCUCUAUAUAUAUAUAUAUAUAUAUAUAUAUGUGUGUGUGUGUGUGGGCGCGCGCGCGCGCGCGCGCGUGUUUUAUUCCAAUCUUAAUUAGGUUGUUCUAUCCAAAAUCCCACUCAUUAUUUAUCUCCAUGUUAAAAAGUUAAAAAGCACUUCUCAAAUUGCAUAUCUAAAAUGAUUUUAGAGCUCUACAAUUUUUUAUUUUCUGUGAACAACUAUUGGGAAAUUCUAGUAGAAACUCGAAAAAAAUUAUACUAUUUAACAAUCGAAGCUAUACUAGUCGCAUUUGGAUGUAUAUAUAUAUAGAAUUAUACUACUAUACUAUCAAUAGUACCAAGCCCUUGGUACUAUUGAGUUUUCGGCCGUUGAAUGAAAGGAUGUGCGGUUAAUAUAAUAGUGGUCCCCUAGGAUUGAGUGGGUGGUUGGUUUAAUAGUAUAAUCUAACGGGUGAAAAUGAUCAAAGGGUAGAUCUAACGGUAGAAAACUCAAUAGUACAAGGGCUUGGUACUAGGGUUUAGGGUUGGUACUAUCGAUAGUAUAGUAGCGAGAUAUAUAUAUAUAUAUAUAUAUAUAUAGUUGAGCUAGAAUACUAUCGGUAGCAAACGGGCUCCAUUGCCACCCAUUUGUUUUUGAUGAUAGAGCCUCCAAAUUGACGAUCGACACCGUUGAAAAUGAUCUAUACCACUUGAAGUAUAUAGAAAUCAAAUUUCAUACUUUUUGAUAUUGUUCUCUUGUUCAUCAAGUGGGCGUAAAAAUGAACGACUGAAAAUGAAUAUCCUCUAAAAAGUGAUGAUAGGAAUUUUGUAAUCAAGAUCGAGAGCAUAUAUGUUGUUCUAAAUAGUUUAAAGAAUUUUCUAACCAAAAUUCAAUUCAUUUGGCUAGCAUUACACCGUUAAACAAGAAAACACCUCAAAUCUACCAUUAAAAUUACAAAUUUUGAAAUCCGUUGAUCAUUAGGUCAAUAAUGUCGAAAAGGUUUGAAAUUUGAUUUCUAGAUACUUCAAGUGGUAUAGAUCAUGUUCAACGGCGCCGAUCGUCGAUUUGGAGGCUCCAUCAUCGAAAACAAAUGGGUGGCAACGGAGCCCGUUUGCUACCGAUGGCAUUCCAGCUCAACUCAUAUAUAUAUAUAUAUAUAUAUAUAUAUAUAUAUAGAGAGAGAGAGAGAGAGAGAGAGAGAGAGAGAGAGAGAGUUGAGCUAGAAUACCCCCAAAAGCACCAAAAGAAGUGCUUUUGAGUUUUUAGCCAUUGGAUAGAGAGAUGUAGGGUUGAGAUGAUGAUGGUAGGUGGUGGUAGGUGGAAUAGUGUUUGAUCUAAAGCCUAAACCAAAAUCUUGUUUUGUUUCUGUGACGGCUCUAUCUCCAAAGUAAAGGGAAUAGACUAAAAAUAUCAUGUUUUAAAUCAUCUUCAAAACCAAAUGAUCAAAAAGCAGAAGGUAUGAUUUUAAUAUUAAUAUAUUUUACAAAAAAUCAUUAUAUGUUUCUUCAGCAGCAAUUUCAUCACUAAAAGAGAAAAGAUUGAAAACACUUUGCAUAUAUUGAAACUUCAACGAAGCGGGUAGCGUGCUAUCUAUCUCUCAAAAGCAACAAAAGCAACCCACAUGAUAGUAAACAAUAGUAUUUUUAUAUGAGAUUAUAGUUUACACCUCACUACCAUAUGGUUCACAAAACAUAUUACUUCUCUAUUUAAUUGUAGUUCUUUUGAUGAAAUAAAGAUAAAAUCAUAUGUAACUUUUUAAAUUACAAAGUGGUAAAGUAAAACUGUACUGCACUUUGUUGGGACAAAUAAAAUUUACCCUUUAAAAAAUUUGUUACAAUUUUUUUGAGAAUUGGCUAAAUUAUACUUUUGGUCCUCAAAUUAUGAGGCGCGUGAUAAUUUGAUUCUCAAAUUUGAAUUUAUUAUGCCGCCUCAAACUUUUUUAAAUUAUUGCAAUCAAACACUAUAACCUAAUUUAAUUUAUUAGAUAUUAAUUACCAGUAAUAUAAAAAUAAUAUAUUAGUAUUCUGAUCAAUAAUAUAAUAAUUAAGAUGUCAUAUUAUUUUUAUAUAAGUUGUACAUUAAUACUUAGUCAACUAAAUUAGACUAUGUGAUUUGGUUAUACUAGUUAGAAGGAUUUAAGUUAAAGAUUAUAAUAAAUAAAAAUUUGAAGACUAAAAUAUCAUAUUUUUUUAUAGUUUGAGAAAUCAAAAGUAUAAUUUAUUUAUUUUAUUAUAAUUAUCUUCUGAAAAAUCAGGACCCUAAAUUUUGCAACUGCGCCAGCAGUAACUUUCCUUCUGCGGCUGAAAUGAGAGGCGCGUCAGAAUGGUGGUGUGAGCGAACUGCCGGCAGUGGAUAAUAGAGUGUCCUCCUCCUUUUUCUUCCCAUCAUCUUCUACACAAAUGGCUACAAAUUUCUGCCCCCUCACGAGCUUCUUUCCCCAAUCAACGAGUCCCCAGCAAUGGCGAAGUCGCCGCCAUUUUUGCCCUUCUCCUCCUUCCAAAAGCAUCAGUCUCUUUCAUGCCCCGCCUCCUCCUCCUCCUCCUCCUUCUUCUUCUUCUUCUUCUUCUUGCCUGCGAGGCCUCUGCGGCGGCGUCUUUUGUCGCGCAGCCGCCGGGGCGGGGUCGAAGGCCGUCGCCAGCGACGCCGAGCUUGCAGCCGAUCCUGGACAAGAUCGCCUGUUGAAGGUUUUCUUAUGUUCUUAUUUCAUGCAUUUCGAGUUGUUAAGCCGCAGUAGUGUAACAUCCCUAGAAUUUGGAAUAGUUCUGUAUAUAAGAUAGUAUUUGGGUUGUGGCUAAGCCCAAGAAUAUAGGAGGGUUAAACGUGUUAGGACUAGAGCAGUUGUAGGAUGGGUGAUCCCUGGGAAGUGCGGCGGCACAAAUAGUCUCAUAUUUGAUGGGAAAAGAACUGCGGAAGCUCUAGUAAUAAUAAGGUAAAGUCCUUCAGAAUUUAUCUGAACUAUGAACCAUUUUGAAUCAGCCAUCUAAUCUUUUAAAAUUUUGAUUUUACUAUCCAAUCUUUUAAUUUAUUUGAUUUGACAGUACUCUAAUUUUAAAAUUUAAGAUAGUUACUUACUUUAAUUAUUCAAAAUUUGAAGUCAAAGUGCCGUUGCCAGAUUCAAAUCGAACAAAUUGAGAGGCUGGGUAGCCAACUCAAAAUAGCCCAGAGUUUAGGUAAAUUCAGUUUUUGUCUAAUAAUAACUGAGUUUAAUAAUUUUGGACUGGUGGUUUAGGUCUAACAAGAUAUCAGCUCUAGCCAGCUUGGUCCUUACCCUAGUGCGAGAUAUAUAAUUGUAGUUGAAUUGUCUAAAUCUAGUUAAAUUUAAACAAAGUGAAAAAUGCAUGGAGGUUCCCUCAACUAUAGGCCAUUUUUAAGUAACUCUCUCAACUUGAACUCUUUUUUGAUUGGCACCCCCUUAACAUUUCAAUUUUGUAGUUGAGUUGUUAGGAAUUUUGUGAAUUUCUGAAAAUUAGUUAAAUUCAAACAAGGUGAAAAUGUAUGGAGACUUCUGCAACUAUCGGCCAUUCUGAAAUGGCCCGCUUAACUUUGACUUUUUUUAUUGAGACCCCCUUAACUUCUGAAUUUUCAGGAACUGAAUUGUUCUAGUUAGUUUGGUUUUAUUAAAUUUUAUGGCUCUAUUAGCUAGUAGCCAUUAAUUGUUUCAAUAGGUUUUGGUAAAACAUGAUUAAAAUCAUCAAAUUUGGUGAAAUUGUUGAUUAAUUUGACAAAAUCUCCAAUUUAUUAGACUUAAAUCACUUGAUUCCAAAGAAUUGAAAUUUUGGAAUGCCUGGAUCGUAAAUGUUAAACACUGAGGAGGCUUGUGACGCCCUAUUUUCUAGAGAGCCAUCCAUCCCAGGACUACUCUAGUCCUAGUACGCUUAACUUUCUAAACCUCUUGGGCCUAGACAUGGCCCAAAAUACUUCAGCCGGGUCAAGAGUUUUAGCACUAUUAUAUCUUAUAUAUAGGACUACCUAGGGUCUCACAUUCUCCCCCCUUUAUCGAGAGAAUGUAUCAAAUGCUUAGUUGCCAUAGUUUUGUAGUUUUAGUAAUGUGAGAUCCCAGAUAGUCCUAUAUAUAAGAUAUAAUAGGGUUAAAAAUCUUAACCUGACUAUAGCAUUUUGAGUGGUGGCUAGGCCCAAGAGGUUAAGAGAGUUAAGCGUGCUAGGAUUGGAGUAGUCCUAGGAUGGGUGACUUCUUGAAAGAUGGGGCAUCACAGUUGGUAUCAGAGUCAGUUACCAGUCAGAAGUGUGAGAUGAGUUUCGGCUGAGGCAGAUUAUAUAGCGGGGAGAGCGAGACUUUCAUGAUGAUGAUUGUUAUAUAGCGGGGAGAGCGAGACUUUCAUGAUGAUGAUUGUUUUGGAUAGUGCGAGACUUCCCCACAAGGUCGAUUAAAGGCUAGCGAAACAAGUCUCACAUCGCCUGAUACUUGUGACUUGUGAGUUUGAGCCCGACGAGAACGUUAGGGCUUAAAGGAGGGGGGAGAAUGUGAGACCCCAGGUAGUCCUAUAUAUAAGAUAUAAUAGGGCUAAAACUCUUAACCUGGCUAUAACAUUUUGGAUAGUGGUUAGGCCCAAAACGUUAAGAGAGUUAAGCGUGUUAGGACUAGAGAAGUCCUGGGAUAGGUGACCCCCUGGGAAAUAGGGCGUAACAAGGCUAUUUCAAAAUGGCCUAUAGUUGAGGUGGUUUCUAUAUGUUUUAACCUUCAAACUAUCUUAUGAAGCAAGAUUAGGCCCUUUGCAAAUUGUAAAUUAUGAUUCAUUUUUCAGCUAAUAGUGCUAUUUCUUCUUAAAUGGGCCAAACCUACAAGCUAGUUUCUAUCUAUUUAGUAUUGUUCAUUUGUUAAUCAUGAUACUGAUAUUCAUAUUUGAAAAAUUACCUUACUGAAAUCAUCAAGAAUUCUUAGCGGCAGGGCGUAUCUUGAUCUACUUGCUUAAUUGGUACACUUACAUGAGUUAUUACCUUUUUUUGGUUUAGGUUCCAAUAUCAAAUAUCAGAAAUUUCUGCAUUAUUGCGCACAUUGAUCAUGGGAAGUCAACUUUAGCAGACAAGUUGUUGCAAAUAACCGGCACGGUACAGAAAAGGGAGAUGAAAGAGCAGUUCCUAGAUAACAUGGACUUAGAAAGAGAGAGAGGAAUCACUAUUAAGUUGCAGGUAAGCUUAAUGAUUGCCAUUUUGGCUGCUUAUGCUCAUUAGAAGAUAUAGCGUAUUGUUAAUCUCUCCUGAUGUCAUAGUUUCUCGAUAGUUGAUGCUAGUUAUUUCUCUUUAGUUGCCAUGUAUAUUUCUGUGUAGUAAACUAUACAGUAUCUGUUUUGUAACUUUGCUGUAAGUUUCGUCUCCAGCUGUGGUAGCUCUAAAGCUCAAAGUAAGAAUUAAGAGAAGAUAUAAGAAUCGUCUUACAGAUAGACCGCAUUGCUCCGUGUAGAGCUUUUUUGUUUUGUCUUGUUUUGUUUUUCUUUUUUUGGGUGACCGUACAGUGUACAGCUAGUUAUUGGAAAAGAUCAUGUAGCCGACACCAGCUAAUUGGAAUAUAAGGCAAUAUUAUAGUUUUCAUGAAUAUCUUAACACUAGCUAGGGCUAAAUAAUACUGCUAGUUGACCAUAUUUAAAUCAGAGCUUGUAAUUUAUGUUAUAUUAGUUUUCUUCACAAGAUGAUGAAAGUCAAAAAUAUUCAUCUUUGCAUGUAUUUGCAUCUGAGGAUUCCUGUGUCAAAGAUGCCGGCCAGCACCAACUAUUACCUGCCAUGUUGGCAAAUUGCUAGCAUUAUACACGGGCAGUAUCAAGAACAAGAUUAGCGUGGUCCCAAAUCUCCAUCUUUCUUUGCUUUCUUCUAGAUAAUAAUAAUGGGAUGCUUCCAAAUUAUGUAACUUCUUCUUUACAUGCAAUCUUGGACAUGAAAUUGUUCUAUAAUAAAAGAAGCAAGUAAAUAAUUGAACUCAUGUCGGUGGCAUAUAGAUGCAUGUCAGUGGUACACCGAACAUGCUGCAGCAUUUAUUUUGCUGCCCGAUGCAUGGCAUGGUACCCUCUGUUCAUUACUUACUUAUUAUGAAUGUUUCCGUUAGCACUUCUAUGUUGAUGCGUGUUUUAAAUUAUAUAAUAAAGAGAGCUUUUUGUUACUUUGAAAUUGAGAUUUUGUCUGUCUUCUGUUGCUGCACUACUUUGCUCUUUUAUGUACUACUAAUUUGGGCCCUCUGAUUACAAGUUCACACUCCGUAAUUCUCUUUUUUGUUACCAAUUAUUCAAUAACAAGCUGAGAAUAGUUAUGUGAUCUGUUAUGAUAUUUAUAAUUUCUCAUAUUGAUGUAUAGUUUGCCGUGCUCAUAUAAUAGCAUCCUCUCAUUCUGUCUUAGGCAGCUCGGAUGCGUUAUAUUUUAAACAAUGAGCCAUACUGCCUCAAUUUAAUUGAUACACCCGGGCAUGUUGAUUUCUCAUAUGAGGUAUGUCUAUAUCUUAUCGAUUCACAUCAUUACCAUUAUCAUAUAAUAAGUCUAUCAUCUAUUGGCAGUAGAUUUAAUUCUGUUUGAUGUGUAGAGCAGAAGAUAACUAUAUUAUGAUUUAAUUUAUUGGCGUACAGAACACUUGUGGCAUCUAGUCUCUUCAAAAUAGCAUUUCUUUUUUCUUCUAGUUAGAAUUAUUUGGUCAAUGCUGUGGCAAGAUUUUUAUAAUUUAAGAUACUAGCAUGAGAUUGUGUCCAAAUAAUGUUUCUCUUAAAUAUUUAAGUGACUCUAUUAUGAUAUUAUAUUCUGCUAUCUUCAUAUUUCUUUUAUCUUGUUUAUAUCUAAGUACCUGUAUUAUCUGAAAUUUUUUUGAAGUAUCCAAAUACACUAGAUAUAAUAUAUAUGACUCCAGAAAAUCAAUAAAGGUGUAAAUAAGUGAACGAAGAGAUUUAGAUUUGUGUGGAUAUGAAAUUUCUACUAAAUAGAUAAUCUGUGAUUGUCUUAAAUCAGAAUCAGAUUACUAAGCUAAGACUUUAACUCAAUAUAUACUUAUUUCUAAAGUAUCAUCACAUUUAUCUUUUCAAUUCUUAUCUAAAAGUAAUGGAUAAAACUAAUCAAAUUUAGUCCAAUCUAUCUUAACUAUCUUCUAUUUCUCUAACGCAAAUACUAGCGUCUGGAGGUCAACUGUUGUUCCAUGCGUCAUGAAGUUACUUUCAGAAACUUGGUGAUUAGUAUAGUAAAAGCUAGUAAAUGGGUUUGUAUUGUUAUAAUGUAACAAUCUAUGUGUUCAUAUUAAGUCCAUAUGAUGUCUACUCAGUAGAUACAACUGAUGAUUUUCUAGUUGUUAUAUAUGAAGCAUUCUGUAAACUCAAGUUUUGGAUUGCUGGCUAGGUUUCUCGUUCUCUUGCUGCUUGUGAAGGUGCUCUUCUAGUCGUUGAUGCUUCUCAGGUGCAACUUUUACCUUCUUACUAGUAAGUUUCAAGAACAGUUUUUACUAUGACUAUGUUCGAUUUAUCUCAAAUGCGAACCUUUAAAACCAGGUGAAAUUAUCGAAAUUCUUUUGGAUUGAACUGAGCAAUGAAUUUUCAUGGAAUUGUUGUGACAAUUUAGGGUGUGGAAGCUCAAACACUGGCUAAUGUUUAUCUGGCCUUGGAGAACAAUCUUGAGAUUAUACCUGUGAGAUUACUUCAUCUCUAUUAUGGGAUUUUACCAAUUUGAAUUUUCUGAAUAUUUAUUUAUUUUUAUUUGAUUAACAUGCAUAUUCACUCUGAAUUUUAUGGUGAGCAUAAUUCGGCUAUACUUAGUCAUUCUCUUAUGGUCGCAAAGUAGGAUUAGAUGCCUUAGGUAGAAGGCUAAACAUAGUAGUCCAUAGGAUGAGGCUGGCAAUUCUAGCUUGUUGCAAACUGUAUAAAAAUAAGCAUUCUCCAAACUAAAGUCCUAUGCGGCAUAUGUCUGUUCUAUUUUAUGAUACCUUCCCCCCACUAGAUGUGCUCAUAUGUAAUUUAAUAUCAUAACUAUAGUUGUGAAAUGCACUAGUUUGGAUCAAGAGGAAAAUUUACGGUCCACAUGUAAUAGGAUGAAAUUGGUGCAUAAAAUAAACUUAAAAGAAACAGAUUAUGUAAAAUCAGUUUGGUUCUGCCUCAGUUAUCUACUGGGUUGCAAAUGAUGAUGCUUUCUACUUACAAAUAGCAUGCGUAAAAAAAAAAAACAAAAAACAAAGUGCCACUAUGCAUAAAAUGUUUUAAGUGGUAUAUUAUAGGGUUCUCUCCAUUAUUCUGUUUACAAAUAUUUGCUUGAUAACUCAUUCUAAUAAUCUGGAUGAUCUUGAGAUCAGCAUAGGAAAAUAUAGAAGUAUAAGAAGCAAAUUGGUCGAAUUGAAAAGUGUUGGCUCCAAUUGGUUUGAUCUAUUCUAAAGUAGGCUUUGGGGUCUAGUUAUGUAAAUCUUAACUGCUAAUUUUUAAUAUAAUGUCUAUAAUGUUUAGGCUUACAAACAUUUGAUUGGUUUCUAAAGCUAGACUAAUUUCCAAGGCUUUUUCUUUUUCCCGCUUCUUUCAUAUAUGUACAAAGUAUUAAGAUUUAAGCCAAGUAAAUGAUUCUUGACAUAUUAUAUUGAUUUUAUUUAUUCAUUUGGACUAUUUAAUUAUUCACUGUAAUCUUUUGAGACCAGCGGAAAGUGAAAACCAAAAUUUUAAUUUUCCAAAGCAAAGAGACGAACUACCUCUUGAAAUAGACCGAAGUAAUCAGAUAGCAUUUGUUUGGUUUGCGAAUAUGUUUUCAACCAAAAACCCCAAAAACAGUGUAGUUGUUUGAUUGUUUCAGAUGAUAAGUUAAAUGUUAUUGGAAGAAAGAUUCUCUGUGGCUCUUGGAUAAACAUGAUGCUUCCUAAUAUUACAAACUUCUAUUGAAGGAUGGCCUCCAUCCUCAAAAGUUUAUGACUAGCAUGUUAAUAUUUGUAAGCCCAGGAAUCCUUAGAUUUAGGUUACUUUUAAAUGGUUGGAAUUUCAUCCCUUUUUUUCGAAAAUGCAUACUUGCAUUACAAAAUUAUUUGGCUCUGAUACAGGUUUUGAACAAAAUAGACCUGCCAGGUGCUGAACCUGAUCGGGCUGCCAAGGAGAUUGAAGAGGUUCGUGGAGAGAAAGUUCACAUUUUCUUUACACUCUCAGUUUUGUUAUACGUUGAAACGUUAUAUAUGUGUUCUUAUAUUUUUGAAUGACUGGUGUGAUAUUCACAGAUUAUUGGACUAGAUUGCAGUGAUGCAAUUCACUGCUCAGCAAAGGUCAGUUUCUUGGCAUCAAGGCAUGAAUUUUUUUUAUAAAUAAUCUUAUUAAUUUUUAUAAUUAUAAAAAUAAUUUUGUUAAAAAAAUAAUUAUAAAAAUAGUCCUAUAAAUGCGGUGUCACCGCAUUUAUAACUUCUCAUUAGGAGUAGAAAAGAAAUAAAAGCGGUAAACCAUUCACCGCUUUUAUCAUUAUAAAAAUAUAGAAAAAAAUGAAAAAAAUAAAGAAAGCGGUGAAUGAUUCACCGCUUUUAAAAGCGGUGAAUGAUUCACCGCUUCUAUAAGACUAUAUUUACAAAUAAAAAUUUAAUAAACUUAUUUUUAGAAUAAAUGUUUAGGAAAAGACUAUUACACUAAAAAACCCAUAUCUAAGAGUAGUAGGAUGCGUGGAACUCCAUGUACGUCGACGAGUUUAGCAGGCGAGGACGUGACUCAACACUCCUGGUCCUAGUGGGACGAUUAGAUUCGAUCCGAAUGUCCGUACACCGGGAUAGUUGUUGUGAUUUGUUGAGUGGAUAUAUCUAUAGAGUGAUGUCCGUACACCGGGAUGGUCGGGUGCAGAUAAGAUGCCGCGAGAGGUUAGUACUGUACAUCACGUACGUGGGGAUAUUAUGUUGAGCGACUCUCAAUUCGAAUCGGCCGGCCAGUAUAUAAUCGAUGUACACAGAACAGAAACGGCAGGCGGGCGGGGUAUACAUUAGUGUCAGAUAUGUACUACGAAAAAUAAAUUGUUAGUAUUAGAGUUCGUAAUUCCUAGUACCUUUUUUCCAUGCGAUAUGGAACUGCUGGGGUAUUGAAAAAAAUCUUCCAGAUUAAAUGAAGCUAUAAAAUUGGAGCGCGAGCUGUAUAGGACAGCUUACCAAAUUGUCUCAACAACAACGUCUCACUGAAACACCACUCGACGAAGCCCCACUCAGCUAAAUUACCUUCCUUAUACGAGAUCCCCAUUUUUCGUCAUUGUUACGUGCAAAUAUGAGACCAACAAAUUGCAACACGUGGCCCAAACACACGUCCAGCUUCGGAUUUUAAAUGCUUUUAAAGCUUUCUAACCACUGAUUGCAUGAAACGAUAGCAACCACAGACCGAAACGCAGCAUCCUAGUGCAUUUUCAUAACGCGGGGAGCCCUAUCGGAAAACUUAAUUACAAUUAUGAUCGAGUUAGACGAUCGAUGUUUUACUCAGUUACCUUUCCACUUUGAAAUCUGCAAUUAAUCAAUCUUUUUCCAGAAGUUCAGUAUAGCGGACUUGACAAAACAAUGUUAUGUUUAUCAGAUGGCGGGCGGUUCACAUCAACACGAUCGAUUGAACUGGUGGACAAAACGAAAGAAUCACAAGAACAGUUUGUUUCUGGCUCGGUUUGCACCCCAAAUCUCCCCCCCUUCCCACCCACUGAGGGAACACAUCUUGAUCGCCGGUCGUGUUAAUUUGACACAACAUGAACAAAUUUAUUUAGACUAAAUAAAAAAACAUAGAUCGAAAAAGCUACUGCACACUGGAAGUAAUUUAUACCAACUCCGGUGUUGUGGUUAGCAAGUAGGUUCCAACAUGUUGAGAGGAUCAUAUGAGUAACAGAUUUCGCACAUAUAUUACAACAAACAUCAAAUGCUGCAUCUGUCGCAGAGAAGAAAUUUCACGACUUAUUCUGUAAGCGAAGUGUAGCCCGUACGGAAUGAUGAGGAGCUGGCGGUUUAUCAUUAACAAAAAUUUGUUCCGCAAAAUCCACCCGUAUCGAUCUGAAUUCAUAGCUCUGCUUCACAAAAAAANAAAAAAAUAAAGAAAGCGGUGAAUGAUUCACCGCUUUUAAAAGCGGUGAAUGAUUCACCGCUUCUAUAAGACUAUAUUUAUAAAUAAAAAUUUAAUAAACUUAUUUUAGAAUAAAUGUUUAGGAAAAGACUAUUACACUAAAAAACCCUCAAGGCAUGCAGAAUUAUGUGAAAAGAGAAAUAUAUUGAAAGUUGUCAAGUUAUUUGAACCUUAAAUAAGAACUUAGAAUGAUGUAUUCUGUUUUUCUUCUUUAUAUAUCAUGUAGGAGGGUAUUGGUAUAACCGAAAUUCUAAAUGCCAUUGUUACACGAAUCCCUCCUCCAAAAGACACUGCUGGAGGUCCUCUUAGAGCUCUUAUAUUUGACAGGUAUCUUGAACUUUUCAACUUUGUUAUGAUUACUUGUUUAAUAUAUUUUCAUGAUUUUUUUUUUUUGGCGUGGUAUCUUCAUUGUACCUUUCUAAUGCCAUUUUAUUUCUACAAUUUGAAUGAGUAAGCAACAGAUUCUAAAUGUAAGACAUUAUUGAUAUUUGCUUGAGCAAGUAUCCAUUACCUGUAAGGUCCUCUUGUUGUGACUUUAUUACCAACUCUUUAUUAAGUAACCUAUUUUAAAUAUUUAUACUGAUGUGUUGAUAGGUAUGUUUAUGUUUGAUGUCACAUCUCUGAGCUUACAGAAGCUCUUCCUAUACAUUCAUACAAAUGUGCGAACAUAUUCAAGAUUGUACAUUGUUGCUUAUUCAACUCCACACACAAAGAAAAUGCCUAGAAACAUAUUUGUAUUCUAUAAUACUAUUGACUUGUAGCCAAGGAUUUAAGUGCCGUAGUACAGAAUCGUGCCGUAAACUUGCUAGCACGGUACGGCACGAUACUUGCCGGGCCGUACUGAUGCGUGUCAGUUACAAAAAAUACAUGUGUGCCGAUACAUAAUGAUAUGAAAAAUUUAUUUUCUUUAGCAACAAAAUUUUCUAGUUGUUUAUUAUGUAUCUUUAUCAAAUUUUUUGAACUUUAUUAAAAAAAUUAUUUACUAAUUUAAAGUAAAAAGGAUUUUGAACUGUGCCAUCGGCACGGGGGCUGUAUCAUGCCAGUAUUUUAUUGGCAAUUUGGUACGAUACGGUAUGGUAGAUAUGGCCCGUACCGAUAGGUACUUAAAUGUUAAAUCCUCGCUUGCAGCAACAUUUAUCAAUGAAUAUGCAAGUGACGUGCAUAAAAGAUUUUUACGCAAAUUUAUGAUCGCAUUCAUAGAUUUAUAAUUUCAAACUUCCGGCUUUUCAGUUCCCCUUUUCUUUUUUGCUGUUGCAUUCUAGGCUAAUAAUCACCACUCUCUACCAUACACAUCACAGCUUGCUUAAUUAGUUUUACAUUCUUUUUGUAGCUACUAUGAUCCAUAUAGAGGAGUUAUAGUUUAUUUUCGUGUUGUUGACGGGACUGUAAAGAAAGGUGACAGGAUAUAUUUCAUGGCUAGUGGAAAGGUAAAACUUCAUUCUGCUUCCUUAGAACUUCCUUUAAACUCCAUCCAUUAUAAGCUAUAAGAUCAACUUCUGCCUCGAGCACUCUCUUAUUUAGUUUGCAAAUUUGCUUUUAUUAUGUCGUUUACUUUGAUUAAAUAGAGGCAAGACAAAUUUCGUUAUCAGAAAUGAAGUUAACCUGGGAAACUUCUACAGUGUCACUCUGAACGAUCUUAAUGUGGCCAGAAACAUCAGGAACUCACAUUUUAAUAUGUCAUUCUCUUAAGACAUUAUUCUUAUUUAAGGUAUAUGUCACUUCUGUACUAAGCUUUCUUGAAUGUGAUCAGGAUUACAUUGCUGAUGAAAUUGGAGUACUAUCACCCUAUCAGCUACAAGUUAAUGAACUUUAUGCUGGUGAGGUAAAGUUGUAAAUUCCACGAAUCUAACUUUGUGCACUUGAUUAUGGAGUUAAGUUUCUUCAUGGAUUUUUUUCUCCCUUUCUUAUUUUUCCUGGCAUCUGUGCUAUAUCAUAACUAGUUUCUGGAACACUUACAGAUAUUAGGGCAAUUAUUCCUAUAAUCACUUUGCAGAUUGUAGUUUCAAUCUAUCGUUUCCAGAGUUUGGUUCCCUUUUACGGAUCAAAGUCUUCAUUCAUUUUGUGAUGUCAGGUGGGGUAUCUUUCAGCUUCCAUAAGAUCAGUUGCAGAUGCCAGGGUUGGUGACACGAUUACUCACUAUGGAAGAAAGGCAGAGAGCUCUUUACCAGGAUACGCCGAAGCAACUCCGAUGGUUUUUUGUGGUCUCUUUCCUGUGGAUGCUGACCAGUACCUCACCUUUCCUGAUGUUCUUUACUAUGUUAUUCUACCUUGUCUAUUUUUUCUGUGAACAAAUUUUCCCAUUCCCUGCUGGAUAGGUUUCCUGAGUUGCGGGAUGCACUAGAAAAACUACAGCUAAAUGAUGCUGCUUUAAAGGUGUGCCAAAAUCUUUGUUAUUUUUCCGCACUCUGUUGUUUGGAUAUGUCAGGAACCAGAGAUGUCUAUUUCUUGCUGAUAAGCUUCAUGCUAAUUUUCUUUGGGAUACUUUUUUUUCGUACUUGAUUGUUGAUUAUCUAUCCUCAGCAUGUCUCAUUCUGGUCAUAAAUUAUGAUCACUUCCCUGGUAGUUGAUACUUUCUUUGCCACCAUUUCUGUCACCACCACUUCUCCACUUCCAUACCUUUGAAAUUACCUCCCUCGUUGGCGGGAAUACUUAAAAGAUACUUCUGUGAUUCUCUUUACGUUGCAUGCAUGGUUUAAUUAACUUGGAGAUUGCCAUAUUUAGAUAUGUGUGGUUGGCACGAGGGGGUGCAAGUAUGCGACGGUAUCUAUAACCCUCAAAACACUCUUGUUUACCUAUCAAAGAUCAGUAAUCUAGCAUACAAAGAAAAAUCAUUUCAAUCAUCAUUUGACUUUAAUAUGAUGUUAAUUAACUCACAAAUUAAAGAAUCCUCCUCGGUGGAGUUUAUUUAGUCAUUCUAUGAUUUUCUUAUUGUAGCAUCAACUUAGUUAUUUUGAAUUCUUGGUCGACUUUCGAGGGAAGAAUGUAUCUGUUUGUUCAUGAGUUUUAGUGGCCAUUGAGCAAUUCUUGCUUUCAUGACUUCAUUUUUGACUAUUAUCUUCUGUGAAGGUUCUUAGUUUCCCUUACCUCUCUGUUUGUUGCUUAAUAAUGCAGUUCGAACCUGAAACUUCUAGUGCGAUGGGUUUUGGCUUUCGAUGUGGGUUCCUAGGUCUACUACAUAUGGAAAUUGUUCAGGUUUAAAAUUUUUACUAGCCAACUCUAGAUUUUACUAUUAUGUCUCAGAUCACAGUGUUAGUAAAUGUUCAAGACAACCUUUUCUUUAUAUCUUAUUUUUUCAGGAAAGGCUUGAGAGGGAGUACAACUUGAAUUUGAUAACUACUGCACCAAGUGUGGUUUACCGUGUCAAUUGUGUCGAUGAUGAGAUAGUAAAUUCCUGUGAUCCCUAGCCUUCUUAGCUUUUAAUAAAUGCUCCACGUUUUGUUAUCUUUCCUCAAUAUGUACAAUGAUUUUUCCAGAUGGUGCUUACAUACGUUGGGAAGUUUGCUUCACAGUUAAAAGAAAAUUGUUUACUUGCUAUUUUCCUGAUAUUUAACUCUUAUGAUAUCUUUCAACAACAGUGAUAGAUGUGAUGGAACUAACAAUUAUGAUACGUAGGUUGAAUGCUCAAAUCCAUCUUUACUCCCGGAACCUGGAAAGCGUAGGUCAAUUGAAGAGCCAUAUGUUAAGGUUGUACCAUCUGACAGAUUCUGCCCAUUUGCUGUCAUAUUAAACAUUAACUAAUAUCAUAAGCCUUUCCUUAAACAUGUUUUAACAUGUUAUCGACAUUAUUCCGUGUUUCAUGUUUUCAGAUAGAAAUUCUUACACCAAAAGAGUAUAUUGGCUCUCUUAUGGAACUUGGUCAAGAUAGAAGAGGUGUAUUCAAAGAGAUGAACUAUAUCACAGAGAAUAGAGCUUCAAUUAUUUACGAGUUACCACUAGCAGAGGUAUAUUUUACUAUAAUUUCUGGUCAUUAUUGUAACAGUCAUUACGAGCAUAUUUACAAAGGCUAUCAUCAGCCUUAUUGAUAUCAUAAUUCUCGAACAGUGUUACUUCUAUAACAUAAGGAAGAUUUCGCAGAAUCUGGGUAUCCCCAAUUCUUUUAUUUCCUCAACAAAUCAGAUAUAGUAGGAACUCAGCAAAGUUUGCUAGUAGUUGGUCUCUAAUGUCUGGUGAAGGAAGCUAGUUCAGUGCUUUCAAUGUCGGAUCAUCACUUAUAUGUGACAUCUUUUAGCUUAAAGAACUAAAUUGUACUAAUUUCAUUACCAUUCUUGUCAUUAUGCUAUGCUGUACUGGUUGGUUAUAUUUGAGUUUGGGUAAAUAUAAUGUACUCUUUUCUUAAUGUACAGAUGGUUGGAGACUUCUUUGAUCAGCUGAAGUCUAGAAGCAAGGGAUAUGCCAGCAUGGAGUACUCACUUAUCGGGUAGUUUUCUGGGUUAUUAUCUUUGAUGAACAUCAACCCAGAUUCCGGAGUUUUUUCAAUAUGCCUGAACUGUGCUUUCAUAAUUGGCAGGUACAGGGAAAGUGAUUUGGUAAAGCUAGACAUUCAGAUUAAUGGUGAGCUUGUGGAGCCGCUAUCAACAAUUGUUCACAAGGACAAGGUAAUAUAAUCUCUUUUCAUUUGGUAGUUUUUAUGCUAGAUUUGUUUCAUUCGCUGCUCCACUUUACCAUUGUAAUUUGUUAUAUGUGUGUGAAUGUAAAUUGAGUGCGGCUUAUGCUCAUAUUGGGGAACUUGCAUGGAGAUUUCUAUCAAAUAUUAGAUCUCAAUUACUCUCAAGAGUUUCACUGCUUUUGGCAGUUCCAUGAUUUGGCUGAAAAAGGAAAAGAGAAGAAUCACAAAAUCGGAACAAGCUUGAAAAGUGAAAACAAGCUGCACAAUUAUUACAUUUUCAUUGUCUCAGAUUGAAAUCACAAAAAAUAACAUAACAAAUGAAUUAGAUUUAACAACAUGCUUGUAGUCCGCUUAAGAGCAAUAUGUGUAUUAUUUGACCCUGAAUUAUCUAUAUAAUAUUGAUCGAAUAUGGCAAGCACCAAAGCAUAAAUUUAUAGUGUUGGUGACUACAUUAGGAAGAUUCAUUAUUUCUAUAUAGCAGAAGCAUCUUCUUAUGCUUUCCAUUAUUGAGUAGAAGGUCAGAAUGCACUGGAAUAUUAACAAGAAAAGGUCAAAAUACACAACAAUGUCUCAGCAACGUGUGCUAUAAUUUUUUGGUUUUUUUAUUUUUCCAGGCAUACUCUGUUGGGAGGGCUUUGACUCAAAAGCUAAAAGAACUUAUUCCCCGACAGAUGUUUAAAGUACCUAUCCAGGUAAGAUCUUUAUCUCUGUCUUAAAUUCAGGUUUGUGACUUUUCUUUUGGGAAGGGGUGGGGAAGUGAAUAUUAUAUUACAAUUGUUGAUACACUUUCAUAGUCGGUUUAACAUUGAUAUUUGAAAAGUACUAGUUACAUAAGAAUAUGACUUGAUUAAUAUCUCUAUAAUCUAGUGAUUAUCUCUAGAGAAAUACUUUUACCUUCAUUGGGCCUGCGAAGGGAUGAGCAGAGUGCAAAUUCAGAUCAUUAGUUAGUCAUGUAUUUUGAUAGAAGAGGUCCCCUAUGAUGGUCACCGGAGUCUAAAAGCAAAAAUAUAAAAAGGAUUGGUCGAUAAUCUUUACCUGAAAGGUUGGUUAUAAUAUCUCAGAUGUCCUGAUGUUCUAGAUAGACAUGUUAUGAGCUUGUAUCCAAGAUGGUUUUGAUUGGCCUUUGUUGCAUUUAAGCUGGUCCCUCACAACGUAAUUUGUUCAAGAUGAUCCAGUACUAUGUAUUGCAAUUCAGCUUAUCUAGAACUCCUAAAUUUGCAAACUUACGCUACUCAAUUUUCUCCAUGUUCUCUAUAAAUUAAAAGUGUAUAUUUUGAUCCUACCAAUUGUUUUAACAUUGUCUUGUGGAAUUCAAAGAAAGGCUUUUGAAUCUCAAAUUGGAUCAUCCAAUCACUGUCAUGAAUCCUCUGCAGUCCAAAAUGAAGAAACCACCAAUUCAAAUACAUUUGAAAAGAUCCUUGAGUGAAACAGGUUUUGAGAUGACAUCGUGUACAAUUAGUAGUUAGUUUCCACUCCUAGAGAAAGAUGUAUCCUUCGGUGAAAGAGAUUCCUUUGUUAUGUCCUUGGUAUUAUAUUUCUCCAGAUCGAAAUAGUUAAUUUUGGGUUGUAGGCUUUAUCAACAAUUCAACAUUAUUGGUAUAAUCAUAAAGAAGCCUGCCUACAAGUUUCUACUUGCUAGCAAUAACACUAUGCAUAAUGCUUUAUUUAGAUGUAAUCCAAGUGAACUAUGUUUCUUAAUUUUAAGUUUAUUCUUCAAUGUUACAUUAGAGUUACUGUAAUAGACAUUGAACUGCGAUACUCGAUAAAUUGCUAGUUUAUUUCCUUUGGCAUUUACCACUGCAUAUCGAACUUCUUAUCGUUUCUGUAAGUGGUUUCUCCUGUUCAACUAAUCCGGAUGUAAUGAUACCCAUGAUAGGCAUGUAUCGGUUCCAAGGUGAUUGCUAGCGAAUCUUUGUCGGCCAUUAGGAAGGAUGUUCUUUCAAAAUGUUAUGGUAUGCCAUAAUUUUAAGCCUGGCUAAUUCCGAAAAUGCACCUAUCUUAAUCGUUUUCAUCAUUCUGAAGUUCUCCCGGCCUUUUGUAAUUUUGCCUUGGAAGGCUUCUCAUAUCAUAUCAAAUUUGUAAGGACUUCUGUACAAUUAUGAUGGUUUGUUUCUCUUGUAGGAGGAGACAUAACAAGGAAAAAGAAGCUACUAAAGAAACAGGUGAUUGAUCUAACAUCACUUAGUCCUUUCUAGUUUAGUGGUGAAUUCUUUAUAUGAUAUAUCUUAUAAAUGGGUUAUGAUAUGUGCUGAACGUCUAACAACUUUCGCAGAAAAAUGGUUAUUUGAAGUUAAUGAGAUGAUUUUUUGCUUGAUCAGUGAGCUGAAUUGAGUGUCAAAGUGAGUUUCUGAGUGACCAGCUUUUCGUUAUGCUUGGAGAAAUUAAUGUAGGAAAAUGCGAUGUGCUGAAAAUAGCUUUUACAGUCAGGUCAUGGACAUAGCUUUACUUCUCCCUUCUCCCACCAUUCCAAUGUCUAUUACCCUCGAUCUUCUCCCUUUUCUCAUGUCCUCUAUUACUCUAGCCACUCACAUGUAGCCACAUCAUCAAUGCUGGUUUUUAAGUUCCAACUGUAACUUGCACAACUAAUUCUCUAUUAGAUAUCUGAUAUCGUGCUAUGAUAAAUAGCUUACCUUUAACUUGCUUUUGAAAUGACCACAGCAUUUCUUUAAUUUCCCCAGUUGUCGAAGGCAAAUAGCUACAUCACUUGCAUACUGCUAAUCACUUUUUACCGUAUAACAUUCCUGAUUUUAGUUGAUCUACCCUACAUUCGAAGAAGAUUUUUUGAGCUUGUUCAUUAUUUACCAUAAUCAGCAAUAACAACAACUCAAGCUUUACAAUACUACAUGUAUGUGCAUGUUAUACAUGUAUAUAUAUAUAUACACA
rnacentral:lncRNA from 1 species